UUCGUCACACUAUCAUUAACUGAAUCCAUAGGUUAAUGAGGCGAACCGGGGGAACUGAAACAUCUAAGUACCCCGAGGAAAAGAAAUCAACCGAGAUUCCCCCAGUAGCGGCGAGCGAACGGGGAGCAGCCCAGAGCCUGAAUCAGUGUGUGUGUUAGUGGAAGCGUCUGGAAAGGCGCGCGAUACAGGGUGACAGCCCCGUACACAAAAAUGCACAUACUGUGAGCUCGAUGAGUAGGGCGGGACACGUGGUAUCCUGUCUGAAUAUGGGGGGACCAUCCUCCAAGGCUAAAUACUCCUGACUGACCGAUAGUGAACCAGUACCGUGAGGGAAAGGCGAAAAGAACCCCGGCGAGGGGAGUGAAAAAGAACCUGAAACCGUGUACGUACAAGCAGUGGGAGCACAGAGCAAUCUGUGUGACUGCGUACCUUUUGUAUAAUGGGUCAGCGACUUAUAUUCUGUAGCAAGGUUAACCGAAUAGGGGAGCCGAAGGGAAACCGAGUCUUAACUGGGCGUUAAGUUGCAGGGUAUAGACCCGAAACCCGGUGAUCUAGCCAUGGGCAGGUUGAAGGUUGGGUAACACUAACUGGAGGACCGAACCGACUAAUGUUGAAAAAUUAGCGGAUGACUUGUGGCUGGGGGUGAAAGGCCAAUCAAACCGGGAGAUAGCUGGUUCUCCCCGAAAGCUAUUUAGGUAGCGCCUCGUGAAUUCAUCUCCGGGGGUAGAGCACUGUUUCGGCAAGGGGGUCAUCCCGACUUACCAACCCGAUGCAAACUGCGAAUACCGGAGAAUGUUAUCACGGGAGACACACGGCGGGUGCUAACGUCCGUCGUGAAGAGGGAAACAACCCAGACCGCCAGCUAAGGUCCCAAAGUCAUGGUUAAGUGGGAAACGAUGUGGGAAGGCCCAGACAGCCAGGAUGUUGGCUUAGAAGCAGCCAUCAUUUAAAGAAAGCGUAAUAGCUCACUGGUCGAGUCGGCCUGCGCGGAAGAUGUAACGGGGCUAAACCAUGCAC
rnacentral:rRNA from 1 species